UAAUCCGAGCAUUAACAUGUUUCACCCCACUCGCCCAAUUAAAUUUAACUCAGCCUCUUCAUUUGUAACCGGUGGAAGAUGUUUAAUAAGUUUACAUGCUUGCAGCAAGGAACACCCCCAUAUCUACUAAAUCUAAAAGUACAAUCUCUGCAAAUUAUCAGCUCUAACUGUUCAAUGCCCACCUCUAGCUAAUCUUUCUCGCCGUUAGGUGGUCUAUACUACCGGCGAGCAUAUUCAGAGGUUCAGUUCUGUUUACCUGAAGAUCUAGACCUGAAACAUUCAGAGGGUUCAACGAGCUUGGAUCCGAUGAUGACUUCUUCUGCUCAUACAUAGACAUUGAGAAACUCGAAUCCGGAUCUGACUCGCGAGAACUGAGACUUAGACUAGACACGGGCACAAUGGGUCUUCGAAUUUGGAAUCAAUAGAGGCUAAGAAAGCCAUGGCUUCUGAUAAAUUCGCUGAGCUUUGGGUCGUUGACCCUAAGAGACCUAAAAGACGAUCAUGGCUGGUUGAUAGUAACCGCAUUGCAACCAAAAUAAAGAUUGCAUCGGGUCAGAAUGAUCCUCACCAAGUGGUCUGGAACAGCAAUCCUACAAGACACUGUCCCAACUGUCAUACGUCAUUGACAACAGUUACGAAGUUAUGACUGGCCAGGCUUGCCUGGAGGUGUGAAAUUUGAUCCCUCUGAUCCGGAGAUCAUCUGCCAUUUGCUAGCAAAAUCUGUAUUGUUGGGUUUUUUCUCCCACCCUUUCAUUAUUGAGUUCAUCCCAACUGUCAAUCAAGAUGAUGGAAUCUGUUACACACAUCCUAAGAACUUACCAUUUUAGUGAUCGUACGAGUUCUGCUAAGUUUAUCUUAAUCAAAUUUUAAAAUUUUCUAGGCGUUAAGCACGAUGGAACUGUGUCCCACUUUUCCAUAGAGCUACAAGAUUUUGGGGAUGUGUGCUGGCAUAAAACAGGAAGAACUAAACUGGUCGUUCUGGAUGGUACGUUUAGUCACUGUCAUGGUAUGUUUCAUCCGAACCUUUUCUCGGAGCUUGAGGUUGUUAUCUAUGGAAUAUAUACAUGGAUGGACUUGAAACGGUGGUCUUUUGAUUUGUUGGUAUACAUGUUGGUCCAACACUACAAAAUUUGAUGCCUGUUUUCGAACUUUUCACUCUCUCUCUCAACAUCACCUCCUCAAGGUAAGUAGUGACCGAUGCUUUUGAUGUUAACAAGAUAAUAUGUAUGCAUGAUUGUUCAAGCAGGUUCUGUGGGUUGUAGUGAGGCGGAACUAUCCAAAAAGCUACUGUUGCCUGCUUUUGGACUCGCAUCUUCUAACUCAAAGUAUUUGUGUGAAACCAAAACAGAGAUCAAGCUGCAGAUAAAUGGCCUGAGCGUUUGCAAGUCGAUCAGCCGGACUACAGGUUCUUCACCUGCAACAGCCCACCAAUGAGGUGAAAACAUAAGAUGCUUUCAUAACCUUCAAUUUUUCUCUGCUCUGAACAAAUGACCCAUUAUCUGCUAUUCUACUUCACAUAUUGCUUACAUUGAAGAGUGUUGUUUCAUUUCCAGAAGAUGCUUUAUGAAUUGUAAUCUAAUCUUCCCACUUUCUUAUACUGAAACUAGCCUUUUGCUUUUUCCUGAACGAGGAUUUAAGGAGUUCACAUUGUGAAGUUUGCUCCUGGUGUUGUAAUGUUGAGAUGCAGCACUUAUUGUGGUACAACUAGAUUGCUGAACGGAAACACAACUUGCUUAUGUAUCAAUUUGUAACAGGUUUAAGUAAUGAAAUGUUUUUAGCUUUGACUAA